rnacentral:rRNA from 1 species
GACGAACGCUGGCGGCGUGCUUAACACAUGCAAGUCGAGCGGUAAGGCCCCUUCGGGGGUACUCGAGCGGCGUAUGGGAUAGUAACACGUGGGUAACCUACCUCCGGGACUGGGAUAGCUGCGGGAAACUGCAGGUAAUACCGGAUAAUGUCCCCGGACCAAAGGUGUGAUUCCGCCCGGCGAGGGGCCCGCGUCAUAUUAGCUAGUUGGUAGGGUGACGGCCUACCAAGGCUAAGAGGGGUAGGGGGUGUGAGAGCAUGACCCCCAUCACUGGGACUGAGACACUGCCCAGACACCUACGGGUGGCUGCAGUCGAGAAUCUUCGGCAAUGGGCGCAAGCCUGACCGAGCGACGCCGCGUGCGGGAUGAAGGCCCUCGGGUUGUAAACCGCUGUCAGAGGGAAAGAAGUGCUGGGGGGUUCUCCCUUCAGUUUGACUGACCCUCAGAGGAAGUACGGGCUAAGUUCGUGCCAGCCGCCGCCGUAAGAC